GACAGAGGUGCCGAGCGUUAGGCGGAAUCACUGGGCUUAAAGCGUGUGUAGGCGGACGUCUAAGUACCUUGUGAAAUCCCACGGCUCAACCGUGGAACGGCUUGGUAUACUGGGCGUCUUGAGCCACUUAGGGGUCGUCGGAACAAGCGGUGGAGCGGUGAAAUGCGUAGAUAUCGCUUGGAACGCCAACGGUGAAAAACAGACGACUGGGAGUGUGCUGACGCUGAGACACGAAAGCCAGGGGGAGCGAACGGGG
rnacentral:rRNA from 1 species